rnacentral:rRNA from 1 species
GUCUACAGCCAUGCCACCCUGAACAAGCCCGAUCCUGUCUGAUCUCGGAAGCUAAGCAGGGUCGGGCCUGGUUAGUACGUGGAUGGGAGACCACCUAGAAAGACCAGGUGCUGUAGGCA